AGAGUUUGAUCCUGGCUCAGGAUGAACGCUAGCGACAGGCCUAACACAUGCAAGUCGAGGGGCAUCGCGGGAGAAGCUUGCUUUUCCUGGCGGCGACCGGCGCACGGGUGAGUAACGCGUAUGCAACCUGGCCUCAAUCGGGGUAUAACCCGGAGAAAUCCGGCCUAACACCGUAUGCGACGCGAGACCGCAUGAUCUUGCGUUGAAACACUGGGAUUGAGGAUGGGCAUGCGUCUGAUUAGCUAGUCGGCGGGGCAACGGCCCACCGAGGCGACGAUCAGUAGGGGUUCUGAGAGGAAGGUCCCCCACAUUGGAACUGAGACACGGUCCAAACUCCUACGGGAGGCAGCAGUGAGGAAUAUUGGUCAAUGGGCGAGAGCCUGAACCAGCCAAGUCGCGUGAGGGAAGACGGCCCUAUGGGUUGUAAACCUCUUUUACAUGGGAAUAAAGUGAGCGUCGUGCACGCUCUUUGCAUGUACCAUGAGAAUAAGCAUCGGCUAACUCCGUGCCAGCAGCCGCGGUAAUACGGAGGAUGCGAGCGUUAUCCGGAUUUAUUGGGUUUAAAGGGUGCGUAGGCGGACUUUUAAGUCAGCGGUGAAAUGCUGCGGCUCAACCGUAGAAUUGCCGUUGAAACUGGAGGUCUUGAGUGCAAACGAGGCAGGCGGAAUGCGCCGUGUAGCGGUGAAAUGCUUAGAUAUGGCGCAGAACCCCGAUUGCGAAGGCAGCUUGCCAGCAUGCAACUGACGCUGAGGCACGAAAGCGUGGGUAUCAAACAGGAUUAGAUACCCUGGUAGUCCACGCAGUAAACGAUGGAUGCUCGCGGUUUGCGAUACAGUGUAAGCCGCCAAGCGAAAGCGUUAAGCAUCCCACCUGGGGAGUACGUCGGCAACGAUGAAACUCAAAGGAAUUGACGGGGGCCCGCACAAGCGGAGGAACAUGUGGUUUAAUUCGAUGAUACGCGAGGAACCUUACCCGGGCUUGAAAGUUAGCGACGGAAGCAGAGACGCUUCUUCCCUUCGGGGCGCGAAACUAGGUGCUGCAUGGUUGUCGUCAGCUCGUGCCGUGAGGUGUCGGCUUAAGUGCCAUAACGAGCGCAACCCUUGCCGUUAGUUACUAACAGGUUAUGCUGAGGACUCUAGCGGGACUGCCACCGUAAGGUGUGAGGAAGGCGGGGGUGACGUCAAAUCAGCAUGGCCCUUACGUCCGGGGCGACACACGUGUUACAAUGGGGGGUACAGAGAGCUGGUCUGCGGCGACGCAGAUCGUAUCCUUAAAGCCCUUCUCAGUUCGGAUCGGAGUCUGCAACUCGACUCCGUGAAGCUGGAUUCGCUAGUAAUCGCGCAUCAGCCAUGGCGCGGUGAAUACGUUCCCGGGCCUUGCACACGCCGCCCGUCAAG
rnacentral:rRNA from 1 species